GUCACGAAUUCCACCGGCAAAUACCUCAUGACAGUUGAUCAGAUAUUGGCUCUUUACACUGAAGCUGCCAAGCGGGGAUGAGUCACUAUGAAGGAAUGUUCUGAAGGACCAUUUAAAUGCAAAGGUUGCACACCACUUCUGCCAUGCAAAAGAUUGAAGCAGAAGGUUCAACGGUGGGCUGAAACAGAUCACUACAGCACGACACCUUUCCAUACCACAUUCAUUAUUCCGUCAACAGCAAAAGUAUCC
rnacentral:lncRNA from 1 species